GACAGGGACAGGAGCAGGAUUGACAAACUGGUCCAGUGGAGGCGGUGGGUGAGAGGAGGAUGUUAGUAAAGCUGACAUCCAUCGUGAACAACCCACAUCACCCUCUGCAUGAGUCUGCGUGUGUGACUGAAACACCCUCGCUGCAGGAAGGAGCUCCUUCGCAGAUCAUUCAUCCCAACAGCAGUUAGACUCUAUCCAGGGGUGCACAUAAGUGGUCCGCAGUGGCAAAAGAAAUGAUCUCCAGUACAUAAAUAAUUACCAGCCUCAUAACUCUGAGCUCCAGCACCUCAGAAUUCUUCUUCAUGGACCCAUUGGUGCCGGCAAGUCCAGCUUCAUCAACUCAGUUGACACUGCCUCCACUCUUUACCUGCUCCUUCUGUUUGAAGUGUUCGAAUUUGGCCACAAUAGGACAUGGUCUCCCGGCCCUGGCCCUCUUAGCCCCGAUAUGAUGGACUCUAUCGAAAGUGAUGUUCUUCAUGGUGUCCUCUGGCAGCUUCAGUGUUAAGCUUGGUCAAAUUCUCGGUAAGAGACUUGACCGAAUCCCAUAGCAUGGCAUUUUCAGCAGCGAGCGUUUCCACCUGCUGCUGGCUGAACUCCAGGGAUUCUCUCAGGGAUUUAAAUUCCCGGUAUAAAACCUACACCAGGGACAACCUUGCAUCGAAGCUGG
ensembl:lncRNA